UGCGCGUGAAUAUUAGGACAAUGGGCGCAAGCCUGAUCCAGCCAUGCCGCGUGAGUGAUGAAGGCCCUAGGGUUGUAAAGCUCUUUCAACGGUGAAGAUAAUGACGGUAACCGUAGAAGAAGCCCCGGCUAACUUCGUGCCAGCAGCCGCGGUAAUUAAAA
rnacentral:rRNA from 1 species